rnacentral:rRNA from 1 species
GAUGAACGCUGGCGGCGUGCCUAAUACAUGCAAGUCGAGCGAACAGACGAGGAGCUUGCUCCUCUGACGUUAGCGGCGGACGGGUGAGUAACACGUGGAUAACCUACCUAUAAGACUGGGAUAACUUCGGGAAACCGGAGCUAAUACCGGAUAAUAUAUUGAACCGCAUGGUUCAAUAGUGAAAGACGGUUUUGCUGUCACUUAUAGAUGGAUCCGCGCCGCAUUAGCUAGUUGGUAAGGUAACGGCUUACCAAGGCAACGAUGCGUAGCCGACCUGAGAGGGUGACCGGCCACACUGGAACUGGGACACGGUCCAGACCCCUACGGGAGGCAGCAGUAGGGAAUCUUCCGCAAUGGGCGAAAUCCUGACGGAGCAACGCCGCGUGAGUGAUGAAGGUCUUCGGAUCGUAAAACUCUGUUAUUAGGGAAGAACAAAUGUGUAAGUAACUAUGCACGUCUUGACGGUACCUAAUCAGAAAGCCACGGCUAACUACGUG